GUUCGAUCAUGGCUCAGAUUGAACGUUGAGGGAUGCUUUACACAUGCAGUCGAAUGGCAGCACGAUUUCGGUCUGGUGAGUGAGUGGCGAACGGGUGAGUAAUGUAUCGGAACGUGCCUAGUAGCGGGGGAUAACUACGCGAAAGCGUAGCUAAUACCGCAUACGACAUACUUUUCUUUGGGGGAAAGUGGGGACCUUCGGGCUCUGUGACUAUUAGAGCGGCUGAUAUCGGAUUAGCUAGCUAGGCAACGGCUCACCAAGCGACGAUCCAGUUGGCUCUGAGGACGACCAGCCACACUGGGACUGGAGACACGGCCCAGACUACGGGAGGCAGCAGGGGGGAAUUUUUGGACAAUGGGGGAAACCCUGAUCCAGCCAUCUCGCGUGUGCGAUGAAGGCCUUGGGUUAAAAAGCACUUUGGCAGGAAAGAAAACGGCACGGGAUAAUACCCUGCGCAACUGACGGUACCUGCAGAAUAAGCACCGGCUAACUACGUGCCAGCAGCCGCGGUAAUACGUAGGGUGCAAGCGUUAAUCGGAAUUACUGGGCGUAAGCGUGCGCAGGUGGUUCGGAAAGAAAGAUGUGAAAUCCCAGAGCUUAACUUUGGAACUGCAUUUUUAACUACCGAGCUAGAGUGUGUCAGAGGGAGAAUUCGCGUAGCAGUGAAAUGCGUAGAUAUGCGGAGGAACACCGAUGGCGAAGGGGCAGCCUCCUGGGAUAACACUGACGCUCAUGCACGAGCGUGGGAGCAACAGGAUUAGAUACCCCGGUAGUCCACGCCUCAAACGGGAUGUCAACUAGCUGGGUUGGGGCCUUCUUGCCUUAGCGCAGCUAACGCGUGAAGUUGACCGCCUCGGGGAGUAAUGGUCGCAAGAUUAAAACUCAAAGGAAUUGACGGGGAUCGCACGUACAAGCGGUGGAUGAUGUGGAUUAAUUGAUGCAACGCGAAAAACCUUACCUACUCCUUGACAUGUCUUUGGAAUCCCGAAGAGAUUUGGGAGUGAGCCGCAAGAGAACCGAACACAGGUGCUGCAUGGCUGUCGUCAGCUCGUGUCGUGAGAUGCUGGGUUAAGUCCCGCAACGAGCGGCAACCUUGUCGUUAGGUUGCUACGAAAGGGCACUCUAUCGAGACUGCUUUGCGACAAACCGGAGGAAGGUGGAUGACGCCGAGUCCUCAUGGCCCUUAUGCAGGGCUUCACACGUCAUACAAUGGAGCCGUGGGACAGAGGGUCGCUAACCUGCGAGUGGGAGCCAAUCCCAGAAACCCGAUCGUAGUCCGGAUCGCAGUCUGCAACUUGACUGCGUGAAGUCGGAAUCAAGCAGGUAAUCGCGGAUCAGCACAGCCGCAGAAUAUUGCCCUGGCCCUUGUACACACCGCCCGUCACACCAUGGGAGUGGGUUUUACCAGAAGUAGUUAGCCUAACCGUAAGGAGGGCGAUUACCACGGUAGGAUUCGAAGACUGUGGAAGUUGUAACAAGGUAG
rnacentral:rRNA from 1 species